rnacentral:lncRNA from 1 species
CCUAAUCUAGUUGUACAUGUCAUCAUGAGUUAUCCGCUUAUAUUGUGUUCUUAUUAUUAUAGAUUAACCGCACAUAUGGCAUCCUCACUAUCACUUAGAGACAUACUAGAUGCUAACAAAUUGACCGAACUAAACUAUAUGGACUGAUUAAGAAAUUUGAGAAUUAUUCUCACUCAGAAGAAAGUCUUCUACAUAUUGGAUACUCCUGCACUUGAUAUGAUCAGGGA